ensembl:lncRNA
CCUCGAUCACGGUAAACUGCCCACUUUUACAGAGAUCGUUGACGAAAACCUUCUCAGCAUUCCCCCAUCUCCAUGACACUGGCUCCGACCUAACCUUCAUCUCCAGACAGUGAGUGGACGAUGCCCAUGUAAAAUCGGAGGAAUUGUUCCUGGAGCAGCUGUUGGCUCUAGUUUUGACCCACAUUCAGACAAAGAUGUUGUCAGGGGGUGUAGCUGGGAGGGUCAUCAGCAGGGAUUGAGCACAGCUGGCCUUGGGAAUAAAGACCCUGGUUCAAUUCUACAGGGAGAACUAUAUCUACAUGUAAAAUGCACCUUACUCUACUUUUCUUUCCAAUUUCAACUUGAUCUACUACUUUCAAGGAAGCAUUUUUGUUACUGGACAUUUAGUAUUGCUCUUUUCUGACACCUUAGCUAUAGCUGGGUGAGCGACAUGUCCUAUGCAUUUCAUAACUAGCUCAAUGUAAUAAAGGAAUGGAAUGUGUGGGAG